GCCUCGUUGGUCUAGGGGGUUGAUUCUCCCUUAGGGUGUGGGAGAGGUCCCGGGUUCAACCCGGAUGAGCCC